AUGAACAACAAGUGUGGCCAUCAACUAUGUUUCAUCCAGGCCUCAAGAACACCACAGCCAGACACAAGUCGGAGGUAACGGUCAUUCCAUUUUGCGUAUGGGUAAUGCAAAAAGCAAAGCCGGUGAACAUCAACAAGAAGAGGACGUAGCUACAGGUCAGGCGAGUGGUAAAAAUGUUGAAGAAUACAGUGCAACCUUUGAUACUGAAAAAGAUGAAGCUAUUUGCGCAACAGAACCCGCCCCUACGAGCGAGACAAAUCUGAAAGAAUAUAAU